rnacentral:rRNA from 1 species
AACGCGAAGAACCUUACCUGGGCUUGACAUGUGAGUGACAGGUGUGGAAACACACCCUCCCUUCGGGGCACUUUCACAGGUGGUGCAUGGCUGUCGUCAGCUCGUGUCGUGAGAUGUUGGGUUAAGUCCCGCAACGAGCGCAACCCUUGUCCUGUGUUGCUAACAUUCAGUUGAGCACUCGCAGGAGACCGCCAGGGAUAACCUGGAGGAAGGUGGGGAUGACGUCAAGUCCUCAUGGCCUUUAUGUCCAGGGCUACACACGUGCUACAAUGGACGGUACAAAGGGCUGCCAACCCGCGAGGGGGAGCCAAUCCCAAAAAACCGUUCUCAGUUCGGAUUGCAGGCUGCAACUCGCCUGCAUGAAGCUGGAAUCGCUAGUAAUGGUGGAUCAGAACGCCACCGUGAAUACGUUCCCGGGCCUUGUACACACCGAGACGUA